UUCUGGUUGAUCCUGGCGGAGGCUACUGCUAUUGGGAUUCUAUUAAGCCAUGCGAGUUGAAUGAAUUUAGAUUCAUGGCGUACGGCUCAGUAACACGUGGAUAACUUACCCUUAGGACUGGGAUAACUCUGGGAAACUGGGGAUAAUACCGGAUAUUAGGCUAUGGCUGGAAUGCUUUGCCUUUGAAAUGUUUCUUGUAUUCGCCUAAGGAUAGAUCUGCGGCUGAUUAGGCCGUUGGUGGGGUAAUGGCCCACCAAGCCUAUGAUCGGUACGGGUUGUGAGAGCAAGAGCCCGGAGAUGGAACCUGAGACAAGGUUCCAGACCCUACGGGGUGCAGCAGGCGCGAAACCUCCGCAAUGUACGAAAGUGCGACGGGGGGAUCCCAAGUGUUAUUCUUAAUAGGAUAACUUUUCAUUAGUGUAAAAAGCUUUUAGAAUAAGAGCUGGGNCAGACCGGUGCCAGCCGCCGCGGNUACACCGGCAGCUCAAGUGUUAGCUGUUUUUAUUGGGGCUAAAGCGUUCGUAGCCGGGUUGAUAAGUCUUGGGUGAAAGCUUAUGGGCUAAACUGUAGAAUUGCUGAGGAUACUGUCAGACUUGAAGUCGGGAGAAGUUAGAGGUACUACCGGGGU
rnacentral:rRNA from 1 species